AACUAAAUAAGGCCGAGCGGUUAAGGCGCCAGCUUCAGGAUUGAGAGGUUCUGCUGGUCACGAAAGUGGCGUGGGUUCGAGUCCCACUCUUGUCA